rnacentral:rRNA from 1 species
GAUGAACGCUGGCGGCGUGCUUAACACAUGCAAGUCGAACGGAAAGGCUCCUGCUUGCAGGGGUACUCGAGUGGCGAACGGGUGAGUAACACGUGGGUGAUCUGCCCUGCACUUCGGGAUAAGCCUGGGAAACUGGGUCUAAUACCGGAUAGGACCACAUUUUGGAUGGUGUGGUGGAAAGUUUUUCGGUGUGGGAUGAGCUCGCGGCCUAUCAGCUUGUUGGUGGGGUAAUGGCCUACCAAGGCGUCGACGGGUAGCCGGCCUGAGAGGGUGUACGGCCACAUUAGGACUGAGAUACGGCCCAGCCUCCUACGGGAGGCAGCAGUGGGGAAUAUUACACAAUGGGCGCAAGCCUGAUGCAGCGACGCCGCGUGGGGGAUGACGGCCUUCGGGUUGUAAACUCCUUUCGCUAGGGACGAAGCGCAAGUGACGGUACCUGGAGAAGAAGCACCGGCUAACUACGUG